rnacentral:lncRNA from 1 species
UGGCAUUCGGUUAAAUCGAAUCGGGUACGCCCAUAAGCGGGUUCGAUCCGACGGAUAUUAUGUUAUCUAAUUGGAUUGGAAUUAAUCUCGCUUUCAAAUUGGAAAGUUAGUUAGAGAUAAAUCCUAGUCAUAUUAGGAUAACAAUUAAUAACCGAUUUGGCCUUAUCUCUAACGCCAUUAGGAUUUUGGAAUUCCUUAUAAAUAUGCGGACGAUCCCACAUAACGAAAAAAAAUAAAAGAACCGAAAAAGAGAGAGAAUAAGAAAAUAAUAGAGAGAAACCACAUCCUCCAUUGACCUAUUAUUCUAGAGGGACUUGAACGGUGGAUUUGCGAUCGUGCUCGUUUGUAGUUCGAUCCACCGCGAGUUCGGAGCGCAAGAAGAUUUUCAAGGACGAUCCAAGGACACGUGAACCAACCUCUACGAUCCGGGCUCAUCGCGUUGUUGCGCGAAUCGCUUCCGCAAAAGGUACAAACCAAUACUUCCGCUGCGUUCUACAUAUACCUUCACUUAUUAAUUAAUAUUGUCAUUGUUAUAAUUACAAUACUUUAAUU